UAAUCUCAAUCUCUCUACUCUCGUCUCAGAAUCUCAAUCUCCGGGUGCUGCAAAACUAGGGUUUUUAUACAUCGGGCCGGGUCUGUUCAAUCUCUCAGCGAAGCUCUCGACUUUUUCUCAUUCUCAAUCUCUCAGGUGCUCGAUUUCAAUAUCCGGGCCUGCUACAAAACUACGGGGUCGAGUUCAAUCUGGUUCUUCAUCAUCGACACUAGGUCUGGUUGUUUGGUCGAUUGGGUUGUGUUCAUUUGUUGGGUUCUUCACUCUGCUGCAAAGCAAGGGUCCUGUCUCAAUCUCUCACAUGCUCAAUUUCAAUCUCUGGGGUCUGCUGCAAAAGUAGGGUUUUUUUCUCGAAGAUUUCAAUAUCUCGGAGAUAUUUAGUGGCUGGGUUAUAUUUCUUUGCUAGCUGUCUCUGGUUCCUGAAAUAUAACAUGGACCGUGCCACAUGGAUGUACAAAUUACCGCGGAUCGCACAUGAAUAUGUCAAUGGUGUUAAUGAAUUCAUUUCAUGUGCGGUUGAGAACCUAAAGAAGAGAGGCGCCGAACAUGACAAAGAAGAAAUGAUCACAUGUCCCUGU